rnacentral:rRNA from 1 species
GACGAACGCUGGCGGCGUGCUUAACACAUGCAAGUCGAACGGAAAGGCCCUGCUUUUGUGGUGUGCUCGAGUGGCGAACGGGUGAGUAACACGUGAGUAACCUGCCCUUGACUUUGGGAUAACUUCAGGAAACUGGGGCUAAUACCGGAUAGGAGCUCCUGCUGCAUGGUGGGGGUUGGAAAGUUUCGGCGUUUGGGGAUGGACUCGCGGCUUAUCAGCUUGUUGGUGGGGUAGUGGCUUACCAAGGCUUUGACGGGUAGCCGGCCUGAGAGGGUGACCGGCCACAUUGGGACUGAGAUACGGCCCAGAGGCCUACGGGAGGCAGCAGUGGGGAAUAUUGCACAAUGGGCGGAAGCCUGAUGCAGCAACGCCGCGUGCGGGAUGACGGCCUUCGGGUAGUAAACCGCUUUCGCCUGUGACGAAGCGUGAGUGACGGUAAUGGGUAAAGAAGCACCGGCUAACUACGUG